AUUGAACGCUGGCGGCAUGCCUUACACAUGCAAGUCGAACGGCAGCGCGGACUUCGGUCUGGCGGCGAGUGGCGAACGGGUGAGUAAUGUAUCGGAACGUACCAUUGAGUGGGGGAUAACGUAGCGAAAGUUACGCUAAUACCGCAUAUUCUCUCCGGAGGAAAGCAGGGGACCGCAAGGCCUUGCGCUCUUUGAGCGGCCGAUAUCAGAUUAGCUAGUUGGUGGGGUAAAAGCUCACCAAGGCGACGAUCUGUAGCGGGUCUGAGAGGAUGAUCCGCCACACUGGAACUGAGACACGGUCCAGACUCCUACGGGAGGCAGCGGUGGGGAAUUUUGGACAAUGGGGGCAACCCUGAUCCAGCCAUGCCGCGUGAGUGAAGAAGGCCUUCGGGUUGUAAAGCUCUUUCGGCCGGGAAAAAAUCGCAUGGAUUAAUACUCUGUGUGGAUGAUGGUACCGGAAUAAGAAGCACCGGCUAACUACGUGCCAGCCGCCGCCGUAACAC
rnacentral:rRNA from 1 species